GAUGAACGCUGGCGGCGUGCCUAAUACAUGCAAGUCGAGCGAACGGACGAGAAGCUUGCUUCUCUGAUGUUAGCGGCGGACGGGUGAGUAACACGUGGAUAACCUACCUAUAAGACUGGGAUAACUUCGGAAACCGUAGCUAAUACCGGAUAAUAUUUUGAACCGCAUGGUUCAAAAGUGAAAGACGGUCUUGCUGUCACUUAUAGAUGGAUCCGCGCUGCAUUAGCUAGUUGGUAAGGUAACGGCUUACCAAGGCAACGAUGCAUAGCCGACCUGAGAGGGUGAUCGGCCACACUGGAACUGAGACACGGUCCAGACUCCUACGGGAGGCAGCAGUAGGGGAUCUUCCGCAAUGGGCGAAAGCCUGACGGAGCAACGCCGCGUGAGUGAUGAAGGUCUUCGGAUCGUAAAACUCUGUUAUUAGGGAAGAACAUAUGUGUAAGUAACUGUGCACAUCUUGACGGUACCUAAUCAGAAAGCCACGGCUAACUACGUG
rnacentral:rRNA from 1 species